UGGGGAAUUUUGGACAAUGGGCGCAAGCCUGAUCCAGCAAUGCCGCGUGCAGGAUGAAGGCCUUCGGGUUGUAAACUGCUUUUGUACGGAGCGAAAAGGUCUGCCCUAAUACGGUGGGCUCAUGACGGUACCGUAAGAAUAAGCACCGGCUAGCUACGUGCCAGCAGCCGCGGUAAUACGUAGGGUGCGAGCGUUAAUCGGAAUUACUGGGCGUAAAGCGUGCGCAGGCGGUUAUAUAAGACAGAGGUGAAAUCCCCGGGCUCAACCUGGGAACUGCCUUUGUGACUGCAUAGCUAGAGUAUGGUAGAGGGGGAUGGAAUUCCGCGUGUAGCAGUGAAAUGCGUAGAUAUGCGGAGGAACACCGAUGGCGAAGGCAAUCCCCUGGACCUGUACUGACGCUCAUGCACGAAAGCGUGGGGAGCAAACA
rnacentral:rRNA from 1 species